rnacentral:rRNA from 1 species
UACGGGGGAUGCAAGUGUUAUCCGGAAUAAUUGGGCGUAAAGCGCGCGUAGGCGGUUUAUCAAGUCAGAGAUGAAAUCCCGGGGCUCAACCCCGGAACUGCCUUUGAAACUAGUAAACUAGAAUCUUGGAGAGGUCAGUGGAAUUCCGAGUGUAGAGGUGAAAUUCGUAGAUAUUCGGAAGAACACCAGUGGCGAAGGCGACUGACUGGACAAGUAUUGACGCUGAGGUGCGAAAGCGUGGGGAGCAAACAGG